AAGUGCAGGGAAAGGAGAUCGGGCGAUAUAGGAGGGAGGUGCGAAGUGGGACGGGAACCACGACUUCUGGGCCACUUUGGGGCAGAAUCGUAUUCUCCCUUGAGACGGUCACCUGGGUGGACAGGUGCGUGGACGGGUCUAUGCUUUCGCCCACGUUCUCAUCCACCUGCGCUGCCUCGGUCACCCCAGGAAAAGACGCUGAGACGCCGCGGUUACAGCAGUCGGAGCUCCUGGGGCGGCGGUGAGGGGCUCCACUACUUGGCUUGGGCCGCAGCGAGAGCCCGGUUGUCCCCGCGGGCUCCUGGGGCCCGCGGGACCGCGGCGGGUGCGGGUGCGGGUGCGGGUGCCGGCCUCCCGCCUGGGUCCCCCGCCCUGCUCGCCGCCCCGGGUCACGCGGAGGGGCCCCGGGGUCGGGUGGUCGGGCCCGGGCCGGGCUGCGGCGCUCGCCCCCUACCGCCGGGAGGCCGGGGGGUCCGGGGACCCGCAGCGCCGCGCCCCGGGGCUCAGCAGCUCGGCGGGGGCGGGGGGCGCGGGGGGCGCGGGGGGCGCGGGGGGCGCGGCGCCCGGGAGCCGGAGCCCGAGCCCCCAGCCCGAACCCCGGUCCCGACCCGAGCCCCUGCCCCAGCCGCAGCCCCGAGCUCCAGCCCGAGCCCCCAGCCCCAGCUCCGACCCGAGCCCCCAGCACGAGCCCCUGCCCCAGCUCGAGCUGCAGCCCGAGCCCCAGCCCCAGCCCCAGCCCGAGCCCGAGCCCCCAGCCCCCAGCCCCCAGCCCCAGCUCCGGCCCUAGCCUUCGAGCCCCUGCCCCCAGCCCCAGCUCCCCUGGUCCCGACCCGAGCCCCUGUCCGAGCCCCGAGCCCCGGCCCCAGUCCCGGCCGGAGCCCCGAGCCCCGAGCCCCGAGCCCCGAGCCCCCAGCUCGAGCCCCCGCCCCAGCCCGAGCCCGAGCCCGAGCCGCAGCCGCAGCCUCGGUCCCCCGGCCCCAGUGCCCCCGCCCCGGGUCCCCGAGCCCCGGCCCGAGCGCAGCCGCGGCGGGCGGUCCGAGGCGGCGGCGGCGGCGGCGGGCGGUCCGCCGGGCGCCCCGCCUCCCUGCUCCGCCCUCCGCGCCCGCCGCCUGCGCCGCCCGCCCGCUCCCGGCUCGCCGCUCGCUCUCGGGCCCCCCAUGCGGAUGUGACAUUUCACGCCGCCGCCAUUUUGAGAGCGAGCCGAGCCGAGCCGAGCCGCCGGGCGCCGCGUCCGCUGCCGGAGCCCCGACGCCGCCGAGGAGGCGGAGGCCGCAGCGCCCCGAGCGCGGCCCGCCCGCCGCCGCCGCCGCCGCCGCCUCCGCCCCCGCCCGCCGCCGCCGCCCCGGCCCCGGCCCCGGCCCCGCAGGCCCGCCGCGGCCGCCCGGGCCUCCUCCUCCGCCGCCGCCUCCGCCUCCACCGCCGCCGCCGCCCGCCGCCGGCCCGAGGCGGGGCUGA
rnacentral:lncRNA from 1 species